ACAGAGUAUUAAAGGUAACGCCUGCCCAGUGAUAAAUUAAACGGCCGCGGGAUCCUCCACCGUGCAAAGGUAGCAUAAUCACUUGUCCCCUAAAUAGUGACUAGUAUGAACGGCCAAAUGAAGAUUUUACUGUCUCUUAUAGCCAAUCUAUGAAACUAAUCUAUCAGUACAAAAACUGAUAUAUUAUCAUAAGACGAAAAGACCCUGUGGAACUUUAAACACAACCCACUAUAUAUGGACCUACUGCUUUUAGUUGGGGCAACUUUGGAAAUAAACUAAACUUCCAAUAAUAAAUCAAGAUGAACACAUCAACAACACACCAUAUGACCCAGCACAUGCUGAUCAAAGAACCAAGCUACCCCAGGGAUAACAGCGCCAUCCCCUCAUAGAGCCCAAAUCGACGAGUGGGGUUUACGACCUCGAUGUUGGAUCAGGGCCCCCAAACAGUGCAACAGCUGUUAACGGUUUGUUUGUUCAACAAUUAAAGCCCUACGUGAU
rnacentral:rRNA from 1 species